UAACUUACCUGGUAGGGGCUAUACUACAAUCAUAAAGGUGGUUUUCCCAGGGUGAGACUUAUCCAUUGCACUCCAGAUGUGCUGAUCCCUACAAAAAAUGAAGAAAAAAAAAUAGGCAGAAAAAUAAAUGCUGGGCGUGGUGGCACAUGCCUUU
rnacentral:snRNA from 1 species